GAGAGAGAGAGGGAGAGAGAGAGAGAGAUGAAAAAAUUAAUAUAUAAAUUGUUUAUGUAAUAUUUCGCGAGCAUUGGAUUUCUCGAAAAGAGAAAUUUCGUCACAUUGUCGUCGUUGUCUUCGUCACAUCGUCGUCCUUCUCUUCGUCAAAAAGGAGAACGAAUUUAUUAAAAAAAAAAAAAAAAAAAAAAAAAAAAACAAGUGAAAAAGGGAGGGAGUUGUCGAUGGUAGGAAAGAAAAAAAAAAGAAAAUUAUCUUAUCAAACUAUAUCGUACGUUUUUUUUUUUUUUUAUAAAUCCUACUUGAUUCUAAUCAAAUAAUAUUUAAAUAUUGAAUUGAUUUAAUCCUAAUUUACGUUUUUUCAAAUGAAUUCACGUACGUAUAAUCGAAAUCUUAUCACUUUAGUUAUUCUCGCAUAGAAUUGACACAAAAUUUUUAUCAGUUUAAUUAAAUUAAUCGAAUUGUUCGUAUCGUUGAAAAGAAAGAGAAAAAAAAAAGAAAAAAAGAAAAAAAGAAAAAAAGUAAAAAGAUCGUCGGUUUAUCUCUACGGUCGAAGAUUCUCUUUUCUCGUUAACGUCAUUUCAAACAUUCGACGCGUGUUCAUGGAAUUUUUUUUUAAUUGACUCGAAGCAAAAGAAAGGAAAAAAAAAAAAAAGAAAAAAAGAAAAAAAAAAGGAAAAAGAAUAAAAAGAAAAGAAAAAAAAAAAGAAGACAGACAAAUUCAUCAACAAAUAGAAACAUGUCAGUAAUCUAAUUGAUUAACAUUAUUAACUAAAUCCUCUGACUUUAACUAAUGAUCAAACAACUGCAUAGAAAAUUGAAGAGAAAAAAAAAAAAAGAAAGAAAAUA